UGGGGAAUAUUGGACAAUGGGCGAAAGCCUGAUCCAGCCAUGCCGCGUGUGUGAAGAAGGCCUUCGGAUUGUAAAGCACUUUAAGUUGGGAGGAAGGGCAGUAAGCGAAUACCUUGCUGUUUUGACGUUACCGACAGAAUAAGCACCGGCUAACUCUGUGCCAGCAGCCGCGGUAAUACAGAGGGUGCAAGCGUUAAUCGGAAUUACUGGGCGUAAAGCGCGCGUAGGUGGUUCGUUAAGUUGAAUGUGAAAGCCCCGGGCUCAACCUGGGAACUGCAUCCAGAACUGGCGAGCUAGAGUAGGGCAGAGGGUGGUGGAAUUUCCUGUGUAGCGGUGAAAUGCGGAGAUAUAGGGAGGAACACCAGUGGCGAAGGCGACCACCUGGGCUCAUACUGACACUGAGGUGCGAAAGCGUGGGGAGCAAACAGG
rnacentral:rRNA from 1 species